AAUUAAUAAAUAAAUAAAGCAAACAAAGAAAGUUAGAAGCGUAGCAAGCUUCAGCUUUAGCCGAAAGUCUCUCACUCUCUACGUCAACGUUGAACUGCAGUGCACACUCAAAGCUGUAGGAGACAAUUUGGGAUCUGUAGAUCAUGUUUCUCAGGCGACUUUCAGUGACGCUUCCUCUUUCAAGAAGAUUGUUUAGCAGUAACAGCAACCAUGAUCUUUCAAGCACCAUUGCUGAGCUAAAUAAGGAAAUGGAAUCGGUGUUUGGUGAACCUUCUUCAAAUGGCCCUGCCAGUUCUGCAAGUAAUGUUUACAUGGCUCAAGAAGCCCAGCUCGGUACCCAUAAAGGAGUUGAAAGCCCAGUAGGCUUGACCCACAUUGGCAGUACAGGUGAAGCCCAAAUGGUAGAUGUUUCUCUCAAAGAAAGUAGUAAGAGAACCGCAAUCGCUCGUUGCAAGGUAAUUCUUGGCAAGAAGGUGUUUGAUUUGGUUUUAGCUAACCAGAUGGCCAAGGGAGAUGUCCUUAGUGUGGCAAAAAUUGCAGGAAUAAGUGGAGCAAAGCACACUAGCAGUCUUAUCCCACUAUGCCACAACAUAACUCUGACUAAUGUUCGUGUUGAUCUGACACUGAAACCAGAGGAUUUUAGUGUGGAUAUAGAAGGAGAAGCUGCAUCUACAGGGAAAACUGGAGUUGAGAUGGAAGCAAUGACUGCCGUGACCAUUGCUGGUCUAACAGUUUAUGAUAUGUGCAAGGCUGCUUCAAAGGACAUCCAGAUCUCAGAUGUGCAACUUGAGCACAAAACUGGUGGAAAGAGUGGGGACUGGUACAGGGAGAAGUAAUAGUGUCUUUGAAGAAGACCAUUGUGCAAAAUUCUACCAAUGUCUUGGAGAAUUUUGGAGUAGCUUGCAUCUUCUGAGUACCUUAUACCAAUGUGCAUAGUGGAUAUCUUAAGCAAAAAGCGUGUUCAAUCAAAACCGUGCUGAACUGAAAUCUACCUUGUUUACCUUCUUAAACAGUUUGUUAGGUUGGAAUCUUGUUUAGAAGUGGACUCUGUUCCAUCUUAAGCCAAGAUUUCUCUCUAGUAAAACAGAAAAUAUUCCGAAAGGCUUAAUAUGGCUAGGGAAAACUUCAUUUCAAGAGAUUACGGUGCCAGAAUAUUUCACGGCAACUAAAGGGUUACGGAUAUCAGGAGUUACAAAAGAUUGAGACAAUAUAAAGAGUUAGGCAGUGAAGGUUGUCCUGUCUUGGCUUAGAUCCUUUUGUUGUUCUGUAAGCCCUUUGACUUGGGAGCUCCCGUAAAACUAAAAUUCACUUGGUAGCUGUGACUACAGAUAAAGCAUAUUUUGUUAUGACCCAAAA